UGAAUCUGUUUACUUAGUACAUCCGUUUACACACCAGGGGGGUGGGAGACAGAGACACAGACAGAGAGGGAGAGAGAGAAGGGAAGAUAGGAAGAAGGAGGGAAGGAGGGAAGGAGGGAGUAGGGAGGAAGGGAGGAGCAAGCAAGCAAGCAAAGCAAAAGGAAUCCUUAUCCACCCGAAGUUUGCAUGUAGCCCACACUCUGCACUGUCUGGUGAACCAGCACACCAGGGGAGACAGUUCUGCUUUGCUCGCUGAGGUUUUUCUAAACUCUCAGGCAGCCUCGGUGCGCUGCUGAAGGGCUGGCUGCCUGCGGCUUUCUAAAGGCCAGGCAAACAGCAGGGCUCCAGGAACGUGGGACAGUGAAGUGGCAGAAAACGCGGACGGCCCCAGGCCACCCCAGACACUACUCAGGCCAGCCUGUGAGGCUGCGCGCUUGACGGCCGCUUUGCGACGGUCGUCGCGACUGCCGUAAAGCGAGGCCUCCGCUGCUGCUGUAGAGUGAGAUCACCGUAUCUUCCAUCGUCUGGCCUCCCAGCCUGCCCCCGUUCCCAUCUUCCAUUUCCUCCUUCAAAAAGGACUGGCAAGAGCUGGUAAAUGCUGUUCUGGAACCUGGGGCACAGCUGCAGUGGCGUAUGUGGUUCAAAGAGGAAGCUAAAAACAGAAAAUCAAUGGAGGGCUAAAGGUAUACAAAUCUCCCAGGAUCAGCUUGUUGGAGACGGCCAAUAUACUGCAAUGCAAACACAAUGUUAUAUGAUAUCCAAACCCUAAUUCUAUGUUGAAUGGCAGCCUUGAAAGCAUGGGACAGAGUUGAGGAACCAGAAAAGAAGAGUGAGUCAUUUACAAAGGUUAUACAGGGCCCAAAAGAAUCCUUCACGGAUUUCUUACAAAGACUGACUUCAGCAGUAAAUAGAAUGGUCCCAAAUUCAGAAGCUAGCAAGAUAAUAAUCGAAUCUUUGGCUUUUGAGAAUGCCAAUGCAGCAUGCAAGAAAAUAAUCAGGCCAUUAAAGGCAAGAUCUGUACCCUUGGAAGAUUGGAUUAGAGACACGUUUAAUGUUGAGGCUCAUGACCAUGAUGAUAUGUGGAUAGGAGAAGCAAUUUCAAGAGAUUUGAGGAAUGUCAGAUGUUUUGGAUGUGGAAAGCAAGGACAUUUGAAAAGGGACUGUAAACAGGGCAUUUCUAGAAACAAUGUUUAUUCAAGGAACAAUGGCAACAAAAUGCCCCUUCUGGAGUAUGCAAAAAGUGUGGUAAGGGAAAACAUUGGACCAACGAAUGUAGAUCAACAAGGGACAGACAAGGUAAUACUUUGCCUUGGUCUUUGGGAAACUCCCAGAGGGGCCUCAGGAAGGCCCCCACAGCAAAUCCAGUUCAGACCUUUCCUGCAGUCAUAGAGGAAACCUCUACUCAGAGCAAUUAAAUAACCAAAUGCCAAUUUGAAUAAACCAGGCUGCUUGGGGUGAUGAAACAGCUGAGACAGAGAGAAAAGAAAAUUCAGGAGAAAACAUAAAGAAAAUUUUUUUGGCAAACUUCUAUAAAUGAACAAAGACCAAAGUUAACAAUAAGAAUAAAUGAUGUUUUGUUGUCUGGUCUGGUAGACAUAGGUGCUGACGUGACCAUAAUUGCACCAGAAUUUUGGCAUCCAACUUGGCCUCUUCAGGAGGUAAACGUUCAGCUGUUAGGAAUUGGAACAUUAUCUUAAGUGAAACAGAGUGCAAGAUGGCUGGAAUGUAUAGGUCCAGAAGGGCAGAGAGGAAAAUUAAAACCAUAUGUGGCUAACAUAGCUAUGAACCUGUGGGGCCGAGACCUGUUGCAACAAUGGAAUACUCAGAUUAAUAUCCCUCAGACCUCAGAAACAAUCAUAAACUAGCACAUGUUUCUGAGAGAAAUAUUAGAAGUUAUUAUUCUAAUGAGUAGUCACCAGCCAUCCAUAUUAUACAAGAACAGGGCACAACAACUGAUGAUCUUCCAAAGACACCAACAGCUCUACCUUUAAAAUAAUUAACAGACAAGCUUGUAUGGGUUCAUCAAUGGCCUUUAACAACAGAGAAACUCCAGGCUUUAGAAGAUCUGGUAGAAGAAGAGUUAAAUGCUCAGCAUAUUGAAGAAUCAACCAGCCCUUGGAAUUCUCCUGUAUUUGUUAUUAAAAAGAAAUCUGGUAAAUGGAGAAUGGUAACAGACCUUAGAGCAAUUAACAAAGUAAUUCAGCCAAUGAGCUCUCUACAAUCUGGAAUUCCUUUGCCUACUCUGUUAUCAAAUGUUGGCCUCUUAUAGUUAUUGAUUUAAAAGACUGUUUCUUUUCAAUACCCUUACAAGAAAAAGACAGAGAAAGAUUUACCUUCAUGGUGCCUACUUAUAAUAAUUCUCAACUGGUUAAGAGAUAUCAAUGGAGGGUCCUCCCACAGGGAAUGUUGAAUAGCCCAACUGUGUGCCAAUAUUUUGUACAACAGCCAUUGGAAGUGAUACAUAAAAAAUUUCCUAAAUCUAUAAUUUAUCAUUAUAUGGAUGAUAUUUUACUAGCUGAUUCAAAUGCAGAUACUUUAGAAAGAAUGUUUGAAGAAGUAAAGAAAAUUUUGCCUUGCUAAGGAUUACAAAUUACUCCUGAAAAGAUACAAAGAGGAGAUUCUAUUAAUUAUUUAGGAUAUAAAAUAAAGCUACAAAAAAUUAGACCCCAAAAGGUGCAAAUUAGGAGAGAUCAACUACAGACUCUUAAUGACUUUCAAAGAUUAUUUGGAGACAUUUCUCAUCUACGAACUAUUGAUGGGGUAAAAAAUGAUGAACUGAAUAAUUUGUUCAAAACCUUAGAAGGUGAGAAGGACUUAAAUAGUCCAAGAGAAUUAUCACCUGAAGCUGAGAAAGAAUUGGCCUUGGUAGAAAAGAAAGUACAUGAAGUACACGUGGACCAUAUCGAUCCAAAGCUGGAUUGCAUUUUGGUUAUUUUACCCUCUAGGCAUUCUUCUACAGGAAUAUUAAUGCAGAGGGAAGAUAUAUUGGAAUGGAUAUUUUUACAAAAUAAACCGAAUAAAAAAUUAAAAACUUAUGUGGAAAAAAUCUCUGACAUGGUUUGGAAAGGAAAAUUGAGACUUCGUCAGUUAGCAGGAAUAGACCGAGCAUAAAUGGUCAUACCAUUAACUAAGAAGGACAUUGAAAAAUUAUGGUCAGAAAGUGAACCUUGGCAAAGAGCUUGCAGUAAUUUUUUGGGAGAAAUUAACAGCAAAUAUCCCAAAUGUGAUAGAAUUGAUCUUAUAAAGAGAGCUGAUUGGAUUUUGCCUCGAAUUGUACGGGAAAAACCCAUAUCUGGAGUUCAUACAUUUUAUACAGAUGCCAACAAACAAGGAAAGGCAGGUUACAAAUCAGAAAAUUUAAGUAAAGUGGUUCAAAGUCCUUUUAAUUCAGUUCAAAAAUUGGAAUUGUAUGCUAUUCUGUUGGUAUUAAUGGACUUUUCAGAACCUCUCAACAUAGUUACUGACUUUCAUUAUGCUGAAAGAGUGGUAUUACAUAUUGAGACUGCAGAAUUUAUCCCUGAUGCUUCAGAAUUAACUUCACUAUUUAUUCAGUUACAAGAUACAAUCAGGAAAAGGAGUCAUCCUUUAUAUAUAACUCACAUCUGAUCCCAUACGGGUCUGCCAGGGCCUCUAGCACAAGGUAAUGAUGAGAUUGAUAAACUAUUGAUAGGAAAUGUGCUGGAGGCCUCAGAAUUUCAUAAAAAAAAUGUCAAUAGUAAAGGUUUAAAAAAGAAUUUUUCCAUGACCUGACAGUAAGCCAAGGAAAUUGUAAGGAAAUGUCCUACUUGUUCCUUUUACAAUCAGACGUCAUUAUCAGCAGUAUGUAACCCAAAGAGUAUUCAGAGGAAUGAAAUCUGGCAGAUGGAUGUGUUUCACUUUGCAGAAUUUGGAAAAUUGAAAGAUGUACACCAUACCAUUGAUACUUAUUCAAGAUUUCACUGGGCAACUGCUUUGAGCUCUGAAAAAGCUGAUUCAGUAAUUACUCAUUUGCUGGAGGUUAUGGCCAUCAUGGGUAUACCUGCACAAAUUAAAACUGACAAUGCUCCACCAUAUGUCUCAGGUAAAAUGAAACAGUUUUUUGCUUAUUACAAUAUAAAACAUAUUACAGGUAUACCACAUAAUCCUACAGGCCAAGCAGUUAUAGGAAGAUCAAACAGAACUCUAAAGGAUAUGCUAAAUAAACAGAAAGGGGUAACAAAAGCCCCCAGAAAUAGACUGCAUAAUGCUCUAUUAAGUUUGAAUUUUCUCAGUGCUAAUGAGAAAGGAACAACAGUUGCAGAGAGACAUUGGAUAAUAGAAAAAAACUACAGAAUUAAAUCAGCCUAUAUACUUUAAGGAUGUGCUGACCUCAGAAUGGAAACCAGGAUAUGUGUUACAUUAGGGACAAGGUUUUGCUUUUGUUUCUACAGGAGAAGAUAAGCUGUGGAUACCAUCAAAAUUGAUAAAAGUUCGAAUUGAACAAGAGAGACCUCUUAAUUAGAAGAGGUGAUAGUUCAUCAACCAGUGUGACCAUUCAAUUUAAACUAACUUAUACCAUUAACACAUGCCUUUUCCUUUAAUCAGAUAUAACUUGCCAAAAGGGAACCUCCCCAAAAUUAGUCUUGGGGAAAGGUUUUUGUUUUUGUCUUUUAGGAGAAUGAAGGCUAAGGAAUCUGAAGAACACUGGACAAAUGAGACAUCUGAAGAAAAAGGACAAAUCACCUAGAAAAAAAUGUCCCAAGAAAAAGAGUAAAAUGGCCUAUUGGUAUAUCAUCUAUAAAAUUUCAUAAGUCUUCCUAAAUGUUUGUUUCUGCUCUUCUCUAAAGAAAUUUAACACUAUUGGUCUUCUUGUAGUCCCAGUUCAAUUAAAAUUUAAGCUGACUUUGGAGUUGGAGAAUGGCUCUCUCCUUCUUUAAACUCAAGCAUGUUGUUAAAAGGAAAAUGCAAAUUCCCUGUAUCAUGCCAGAAGAAAGAGCCAUCUUCUGAUAUGGGACAGAAGAAAAACCAAAUUAAUUAAGGAACUAUUCUAUAACUACUAAUCUCAAUUCUUUGAUUCUAUUCUGAUUCUUUAAACUUUUCUUAAAGUAUGAAUUUUAUAUCAAAAUUUACAAGAUUUAUAUAUAUAUAUAUAUAUAUACAUUUUAAACUUUGUUAAGAUAUUAUUGGUCAUAUAGAAUACUAACUAAUUCUAGAAAAAAGGCUUCAAUUAGCUGCCUAUACAUGUCUUUGUGUUCGAGUCUCUUAUCAGUUUUCUGCAGGAAAUCACAGCCAGGCCUAACAACCACUUAAGUCUCCAGGAAGAAGAUGGGGCCCCACAACAACAAUUCCACGUGGACAAUAAUAAUACCACUAAGCUGACAAACAUCAUCUACAGAUCAGCUUUGGACAACAAAUUGCUCAGAGCAAUUUUGAGAUGGCUAGCUGAGAUGAUCCAGUUUCAAAGACUACUUGAAUAUGGACUUGAGAUAAACCCUGAACUUUGGCAUUAUGCACAGACUGGAUAACAAAGGAUAUAGCUACCUUUCCUAGAAUUUGACAAUUAACCCAAAAUUUUUCUUUUCAAAAUAAAGAUACCUUUGCCCAUAUCCAGCAGGAAGCAAUUUUAAGAAUACAACACCCACAUUCCCAAAGAGGACUAUGAGACAUGUUGGCUCCUGGCAGUACCAAUCUACUUCAGAGAAAAUAUGGGCAUUGAAGAAACUGCAUAUGGAGUUAACUUUCAUUGUGGCAAAAGCUAGCCACUGAACAACAAAGUAUCCUCGAAUCAACUGCUGACAAACAGGUCAGACAGGACAUGAAACAAAGGACUACCGAUUCUUGCCAAAACAAGUGUGGUUGUGGCUUUAACAAAAGGCAUCUUCUGAGGCCAGGACAAUAUGGCACCAUCCCUGAAGUGGCCUUUGCAAUCCGGAAAAAGUACAGUGCCCUUUUCUUCGAAGGCAGCUGAACAGGCAGUGGGUCGAUGGCUUCUGAUGUGGAGUGAAACAGCAGCUGAAACAGUUACUCUUGAAGAGUAACUAAGCUCACACCUCUCAAUAGUAGACUGGCAUUUAAUAGAGGGAUAUGGAGAAGAACGGGAUGCUAAGAUGAAGCCACACACACACACAGCCAAGAAGAAUGGACACUGAAUUAAAAAAAAAUCAACAAUUUCCAGGAUUUAAAAUCCUGAAUAGUGACAUAACACUAGUGGAAUCCAUGUGUUUCUGGUACAUGGACUGCUCUCACCAAAUGUGAGGUCGAACUAUUAACCUUGUGUACAUCCUACUUCACAAAUGAAUCUGUCAGAUACGCUAAGCCUAUAGGCUGAAGAUGAUGCCCCAACACUGCAGAGAAACCUCAGGUGACUGUCCAGGCAGCUGGCAGUUUCUGUCAACUUACAUUUUUUUUUGGAAGCUGCUUGCAUGCACUUCCUGUUUUUAUUUUUUAUUAGGAAAGAGAAAGCAAUGCAAUAUGGUGGCACAGGGGAUAUGGAAAAUGUUUUAAAAAGAAAAAAGAGCAGAAAAAGUCACCUAAGAGAAGGAGAGGAUUAAUGCCAAGGAAAUGAAAUGUAGCACUGCUCAACAGAGUGAAGGCCUACCUUACAUCCUGGAGAUCCGGCGGUGACACCAGUUUACAGCUGUAGUUAGCUGUGUGCUUGCUUGUGCAGACAAGUGAGGAGUUGGAUUCCCUUGCUUGAUUUGCUUUGUUUUGUGAUGAAGGGUCUCACUAUAUAGUCCAGGUUGGCCUAGAACCCACUAAUGGUCUUCUGGACUUAGCCUCCCUAAUAAUGGAAUUAUAAGUUUGCUCCGCCGUGCCCAGCUGUGAAUAUGAACCGUUUUGUGGGAUUUUGUUUGUUUGUUUUGGCUUUGGUUUUUGGAGUUUUGGAGUUUGUGUGUGUGUGUGUGUGUGUGUGUGUGUGUGUGUGUGUGUGUGUUUUACUAAGCAAGUAAAAUAGUGGCAAAUUGUGAGUCUGUAGGAGGGUUUGCCAUUCAAAACAUGGUUUUUGUGACAGCAUUGCUCAUAUUGGUGUCACAGAGGAAGUAGACUGGGGAGUGACUGCUAAUAAGAAUGUAGUUUUGAAAUGGUGUAAAGUUCUAGGUAGAGGUGAUAGUAAUACUACUGUAACUGUAUGUUUACUGCUCUCGUUGGAGUCAUGAACCUAGAGAGCAGGGCUUAAGAAUGAGGUGGAGUAAAGUCUCAUUUGAUAGCCAACUUUAUUCAGAGCAUCGGAUUAUAUAUACACUGAGGGUUAAGUGCUGCAAGCCACAGGAAAAUGUAAUGGAAUUCAGCUAUCACAAAAGCUACUACUUGGAAAGGUCAAGGAAUUUUCCUAAGGUCAAGCCAUGGCUUAAGAAGUCUUGGUGAUAUUUUAGCUGUUGUAUGUAUAUAUUAGCUGAUUCCUGCAACGAUUUCCUUGUAUGCUAUGUAUGCUUCCAAGAACUCAUAAUGGUGCAUUUUAUUGGAAAUACCUACCAAGCAUCCAAGGCCAAAUGAUCUUCUGAAUUAAGGAUGGCUGGUUUCAGAUAGCUGAGAAUAUGGGAUUUCAGUGCUUAAAGACUGAAAGCAAAGAUCCUCGGCUAGAUGGGAUGGACUCACUUUCUGGAACUGAAAUCCCUCUGC